CGACGGCGACCGACCCGGAGGCGGUCCGCUGCCGGGCCGCGGCGGCCGGCCGCGCGGCCGGCCGGCGCAGGGUCACGACCUGGCCGUCGA
rnacentral:tRNA from 1 species